UGAAGAGUUUGAUCAUGGCUCAGAUUGAACGCUGGCGGCAGGCCUAACACAUGCAAGUCAAACGGUAACAGGAAUAAUCUUGAUUCUUUGCUGACGAGUGGCGGACGGGUGAGUAAUGUCUGGGAAACUGCCUGAUGGAGGGGGAUAACUACUGGAAACGGUAGCUAAUACCGCAUAACGUCGCAAGACCAAAGAGGGGGACCUUCGGGCCUCUUGCCAUCGGAUGUGCCCAGAUGGGAUUAGCUUGUUGGUGGGGUAACGGCUCACCAAGGCGACGAUCCCUAGCUGGUCUGAGAGGAUGACCAGCCACACUGGAACUGAGACACGGUCCAGACUCCUACGGGAGGCAGCAGUGGGGAAUAUUGCACAAUGGGCGCAAGCCUGAUGCAGCCAUGCCGCGUGUAUGAAGAAGGCCUUCGGGUUGUAAAGUACUUUCAGCGGGGAGGAAGGGAGUAAAGUUAAUACCUUUGCUCAUUGACGUUACCCGCAGAAGAAGCACCGGCUAACUCCGUGCCAGCAGCCGCGGUAAUACGGAGGGUGCAAGCGUUAAUCGGAAUUACUGGGCGUAAAGCGCACGCAGGCGGUUUGUUAAGUCAGAUGUGAAAUCCCCGGGCUCAACCUGGGAACUGCAUCUGAUACUGGCAAGCUUGAGUCUCGUAGAGGGGGGUAGAAUUCCAGGUGUAGCGGUGAAAUGCGUAGAGAUCUGGAGGAAUACCGGUGGCGAAGGCGGCCCCCUGGACGAAGACUGACGCUCAGGUGCGAAAGCGUGGGGAGCAAACAGGAUUAGAUACCCUGGUAGUCCACGCCGUAAACGAUGUCGACUUGGAGGUUGUGCCCUUGAGGCGUGGCUUCCGGAGCUAACGCGUUAAGUCGACCGCCUGGGGAGUACGGCCGCAAGGUUAAAACUCAAAUGAAUUGACGGGGGCCCGCACAAGCGGUGGAGCAUGUGGUUUAAUUCGAUGCAACGCGAAGAACCUUACCUGGUCUUGACAUCCACGGAAGUUUUCAGAGAUGAGAAUGUGCCUUCGGGAACCGUGAGACAGGUGCUGCAUGGCUGUCGUCAGCUCGUGUUGUGAAAUGUUGGGUUAAGUCCCGCAACGAGCGCAACCCUUAUCCUUUGUUGCCAGCGGUCCGGCCGGGAACUCAAAGGAGACUGCCAGUGAUAAACUGGAGGAAGGUGGGGAUGACGUCAAGUCAUCAUGGCCCUUACGACCAGGGCUACACACGUGCUACAAUGGCGCAUACAAAGAGAAGCGACCUCGCGAGAGCAAGCGGACCUCAUAAAGUGCGUCGUAGUCCGGAUUGGAGUCUGCAACUCGACUCCAUGAAGUCGGAAUCGCUAGUAAUCGUGGAUCAGAAUGCCACGGUGAAUACGUUCCCGGGCCUUGUACACACCGCCCGUCACACCAUGGGAGUGGGUUGCAAAAGAAGUAGGUAGCUUAACCUUCGGGAGGGCGCUUACCACUUUGUGAUUCAUGACUGGGGUGAAGUCGUAACAAGGUAACCGUAGGGGAACCUGCGGUUGGAUCACCUCCUUACCUUAAAGAAGC
rnacentral:rRNA from 1 species